ACCAUCUGCACCACAAAUUCAACAAUUUAUUUUUUAACCUACAAAAAUCGAUGAUUAAAAAAACAGCACACCUAUUUCCCAACAAACUAUGGAGUUUGAUAAUCAUCUCAUCUUCUUCUUCACUGAAAUUCCCCCUUUUCAAAUCAGGCCUCAGAUUUAGGGAGAGAGCGCCAAUUCCCCUCGCCGUGAGCUCGUAUGUAAUUGAUGAGGCGUUGAUCUUCAUCCUUAUAUAUAGUGUAAUUUUAUCACGUAAUAUUAUCACGCAAUAUUAUGUUUAGGUCA